AUGGGCUCUCUGCUCAUGCCGCUGCUGGGCAGUGUGGCAGCCAAGGCCGGUGACGCGCUGGUUGCCGAGCUGCUGCGGGCGUGGGGGUUGGCCAAGUCCCGCUGGAAGCUUGAGCGCCACCUCGCCGCCGUCCAGUGCAUCCUGCUGGACGCCGAGGCCAGGAGUCACACCAACCUCGGCGUCCGCCAAUGGAUCAAGGACCUCAAGAGUGCCGCGUACCAAGCCGACGACGUCAUCGAUGACUUCUUCUACGAGGCGCUGCGCCGCCGUGCUGCCAAGAUCCGCCACCCCUACAUGGCGUGCAAGGUGCUGAGCUACUUCACAGUCAAUAGCCCAGUUGUUUUUCGUUUUCACAUGAGUUGGAAGUUGAAGGAUGCCCUUGAGACGAUUGAUGAACUCGUUGUGGAGAUGAACAAUUUCUGCUUCCAACAACAUGCCGAGGCACCAAGUGUUGUUCAUCCGCAAACACACUCUCGUGUUGAUGAAUCAGAUAUUGUCGGCAGACAAGAUGACAAGGAACAAGUGGUAAAGAUAUUGCUUGAUCACAAUAGCAGUAACAAUAAUAAUGUCAUGGUGCUCCCCAUAGUUGGUAUGGGGGGAAUUGGUAAGACUACCCUUGCCCAACUUGUGCACAAUGAUCGUAGGGUAAAUCAUCAUUUUGAGCUGGUAUUAUGGGUAUGUGUCUCUGACAAGUUCGUUGUCGAAGAAAUCAUCCGAUCUAUAAUAGAAGUGGCCACGAUGAAGAAGUGUGAUUUGACUCAGAUGGAGGCAAUGCAGAAGAAACUUAGUGAAGUGUUGGGCAACAAAAGGUACCUCCUAGUGUUGGAUGAUGUUUGGAAUGAAGAUAGUCAAAAGUGGGAUGAUCUGAGAUCUUUGUUAUGCCCAGAUGAUGAUGGCAGUGCACAUGCUGGCCCAGGCAAUGCUAUAGUUGUGACAAGCCGCAACAAUCAAGUUGCUUCUAUCAUGGGCACAGUUCCUCCACAUCAGAUAUCACUUCUAAAUGUGGAUCAAUCAUGGGAACUAUUUUGCAGAAUCGCAUUUGGAAGGGAAGUGGAACAACAAGAAUAA
rnacentral:rRNA from 1 species